rnacentral:rRNA from 1 species
UACGUAGGGUGCGAGCGUUGUCCGGAAUUACUGGGCGUAAAGAGCUCGUAGGUGGUUUGUCGCGUUGUCCGUGAAAACUCACAGCUCAACUGUGGGCGUGCGGGCGAUACGGGCAGACUGGAGUACUGCAGGGGAGACUGGAAUUCCAGGUGUAGCGGUGAAAUGCGUAGAUAUCUGGAGGAACACCGGUGGCGAAGGCGGGUCUCUGGGCAACAACUGACGCUGAGGAGCGAAAGCGUGGGUAGCAAACAGG